rnacentral:rRNA from 1 species
UACAGAGGUGGCAAGCGUUGUUCGGAAUUACUGGGCGUAAAGGGUGCGUAGGCGGUUUGUUAAGUCAGUGGUGAAAGUUUUCGGCCCAACCGGAAAAUUGCCGUUGAUACUGGCGAACUUGAGUGCGUGAGGGAUGGGGGGAACGAGCAGUGUAGCGGUGAAAUGCGUAGAUAUUGCUCGGAAGGCCAGAGCCGAAGGGGCCCCAUUGGUACGUAACUGACGCUGAGGCACGAAAGCGUGGGGAGCAAACAGG